UACGAAGGAUCCAAGCGUUAUCCGGAUUUAUUGGGUUUAAAGGGUGCGUAGGCGGCUUUUUAAGUCAGUGGUGAAAGCUCCAUGCUUAACAUGGAAAUUGCCAUUGAUACUGAAGAGCUUGAGUACACUUGAAGUGGGCGGAAUAUGUCACGUAGAGGUGAAAUUCUUAGAGAUGACAUAGAACACCGAUUGCGAAGGCAGCUCACUAAAUUGUAACUGACGCUGAGGCACGAAAGCGUGGGGAUCAAACAGG
rnacentral:rRNA from 1 species